rnacentral:lncRNA from 1 species
GUGGGAGGCGGUGGGGACACAUGCAGACGCGCUCCCACGGUCGUUUUUUAAAAGUAGGAUCUGCCUCCAGGGCCGAGCCCAACGCGGGGCUCGAACUCCCCACCGUGUGACCGAGACCUGAGCCAAGAUCAAGAGCGACACGCUUAGCCGACCGAGCCACCCAGAAGCCCCACGGAGGGUCGUUUUUAAUAACAUGAUAGAAACCUGAAAAAGAAUACAAUACCAUGUGGCACGCAGCGCGUUUUCCUGACUGCCAUGAAGAACCGUGGCUUUGUGCAGCUUGGUGCAUCCCAGGGUGCUCCGCGGGGAGACUCCUGGCCGGAUCGAGCCGUGCCCAGCAGCUGGCCAGCGCGCCAGAAACGAAUGCAAUCCCAGAAUAGUUCUGGCUGUGAUGUGCAUGCUGGGAUGAGCCACAGAAGUGAGGGGUCACUCAGAGGCAGCGCACGUGUCCCGUCCGGCUGGAGGCUUCUCCGCAUCCCAAUCCGGCUUAGGGUGGCGCCAGGGCCCCUCCAGUCACUUCCUGCUCCUCCUCCAGCCCGGAGCAGGCCCAGGUCAGCCAGCGUCGCCCACUUUUGCCCACCAGCUGGGGGACCCCGGGCAGGUGCACCCAGCCCCGGACUGUAGGCCAGGCCCGGAGUCGGCUACUCUGAGGAGAAGCUGGGGGCCCUGCGGUCGGGGUCCCGGCCCCCCAGCACCCCUCCCACCGCGGGCCCCCCCCCCCCCCCCCCGCCGCGACCCCGCCCACCUCGGGUGCCCUGGGUGCCCCACCUGGGGGCUAUUCCCGGGCGUCCCGGAAGC